AAGUCGUAACAAGGUUUCCGUAGGUGAACCUGCGGAAGGAUCAUUACAACGUAUCCACGUACAAACAAACGCGAACAAUCCUUUGGGGACUGUGAAACUGGAGCAAGCCAGUCUGAAGUUAGAUGGUCGAAUCGCUUAUAGAGCUUUUAGAUGGAGUUUUGUUCAGAGCCGUCUGACGAAAUUAGAGCUCCGAUUCUUGGCCUGGAAUCAGCCCUUUGUUGGUAGUUUCCGAACUUCGUCACGCCCAAAGUGUACUCUCCCACCAUCGGGGACAACAGUUGAACCCUUUUAAUAACCCUUUGUAACUUUCGAACUGAAAUCUGUAAACACUGCGGCUUUCCUCGCUGGCUUCGGUCACGGAGGGCACUAACGCGGUGCUUUACUUGUAUUUACGAAAUACGAACAACUCUUAACAACGGAUAUCUUGGUUCUC
rnacentral:misc_RNA from 1 species